rnacentral:rRNA from 1 species
AUGAACGCUAGCUACAGGCUUAACACAUGCAAGUCGAGGGGCAGCAGAUCGAUAGCUGCUAUGAUGCUGGCGACCGGCGCACGGGUGAGUAACGCGUAUCCAACCUUCCCCAUAGUAGAGGAUAGCCCGGCGAAAGUCGGAUUAAUACUCUAUGUUGUACAACGAGGACAUCUGAAUUGUACCAAAGAUUCAUCGCUAUGGGAUGGGGAUGCGUCUGAUUAGCUUGUUGGCGGGGUAACGACCCACCAAGGCGACGAUCAGUAGAGGUUCUGAGAGGAAGGUCCCCCACAUUGGUACUGAGACACGGACCAAACUCCUACGGGAGGCAGCAGUGAGGAAUAUUGGUCAAUGGGCGGGAGCCUGAACCAGCCAAGUAGCGUGCAAGGAUGACUGCCCUAUGGGUUGUAAACUGCUUUUAUGCGGGAAUAAAGUCAGGUACGUGUACCUGUUUGUAUGUACCGCAUGAAUAAGGACCGGCUAAUUCCGUGCCAGCAGCGGC